rnacentral:lncRNA from 13 species
GAGAAAGGGGAGGAAUUGAAUUACUCCCAGGUUCUGAUUGGAGUCAUUGAAAAUGGGAAGGAGGGUGAUUAAUCUUCCCAUUUUAUCAGGGACUAUCAUGGUUUUCUUACUGAAGAUCCCUCAUUCUGCAAUAGUUUAUUACUGAUAUGGCUUGGAUCUGUGACCUCACCUGAAUCUCAUGUCAAAUUGUAAUCCCUAAUGUUGGAGGCAGGGCCUGGUGGGAGGUGACUGGAUCAUGGGGGCAGAGUUCUCAUGAACGGUUUAGCACCAUCCGCCCUUGGUACUAUACAGUGAGUGAGUUCUCAGGAGGUCUGAUCUCCCUCCUCUCUCUCUUCCUCCUGCUCUGCCCAUGUAAGGCGUUCCUGCUUCCCUUCCCUUUCCACCAUGAUUGUAACAUUCCUGAGACCUCCCCAGAAACAAAUGCCAGCAUCAUGCUUCCUGUACAGCAUGUGGAACUGUAGGCCAAUUAAAUCUCUUUUCUUUAUAAAUUACCCAGUCUCAGGUAUUUCUUUCUAGCAAUGUGAGAACAGACUAAUAAAACAGGAAGGAUGGUGGUACCAUUCACCCAGACAGGCAAUACAGGAUCAGAGUGUGGUUGGAGGAAACAUGGCAACAGCUGCUAACUAUUGGUGACUAAGGCCAUUCUGAGCUCACAGCUGAGGAUCAACUGAAUGAAAUCCCCCACAUUCUAAAUUCCUAGAACCACAGCUGUUGGAGUGGGCCAGCCACACCCUGACAAGGCUUGCUAAGAGAAAUCAGGAAGCAGAACCAGCAUCACCACCUCUCACCCUAAUAUUAAGUGAGGCUGAAAGGGAGAAGGCCGUUGCCUUUUAUAGAAGUACAGUGCUCUUUUAGGAUGAUUUGUUCCCCAGAAUGGUAGGAGCUGAAGGAUGCUACGCUCACUAUCCAUCCUCUGUGCCACCACAAUAGAGGAAAAAUACAUUGGAAAGAGAUGGCAUGAUGGGGGACUGCCAGGCAAAGCAGGGAUCAAAACUGUCUUCACCUGAGGUCAUGGUAUCCUGGAGGUUUGAAAGGUGGAUUCCACAAAAACCUGAAGACCCAGGAAUUGGCUGUGACUUAAUAAAUGGGGCUGGGAAUGGUGGCUUAUACCUGUAAUCCCAGCACUUUGGGAGGCUGAUGUGGGAGGAUUGCUUGAGUUCAGGAGCCAAGACCAGCCUGGGCAAUAUGGUGAGACCCCGUCUCUUUAUAUUAAAAAAAAUAUUGGUAGGCUAAAGUUACAGAACAAAUAUAAUUCUUGGUCCUGUAUACAAAACAACUCUCAGUGACAGCAUGCUCUUUAUUCAUAUCCUUGAAGAUCAGUUUAAGUAGUUCUAUUUUAGGGCAGGAUGUGUUUCAUGCAGCAUGAAUUUGAAUGUCUUUUUUUAAAAAAAAAAAACGCAAUUGGAACAGUCAGGACUGAAAUUUUAUCUGUCUUCUCAUAUGAAAGUAGUAUCAGUAGCUUAUUAAACAGCACUAGACCAGGAAAUACAAGGGUACUAUAAUGAAUAAUUCUAAGCUCAUUAUGAUCUCAUGAACAGGUUCAGAUUCAGCACAAUACUGGAACUGAUUAACAUCUAUGGCACAAAGUGCACAUCUGAUCCAUUUCAAUGGAGCCAUUAUUUAGUGUGACACUGCACUGCUGAAUGCAGCCAUGUUUGUGGAAAGACAGGAAGUUGUCACAGGGCCAGGAGCAGUGGCUCACGCCUGUAAUCUCAGCACUUUGGGAGGCCAAGGCUGGAGGAUUGCUUAAGCCCAGGAGUUUGAGACCAACUUGGGCAGCAUAGUGAGACCUCUAUCUUUAACAAAACAGAAAAAAUAAAAAAUAACUAGAAAGUCA